AGAGUUUGAUCAUGGCUCAGAAUGAACGCUGGCGGCGUAGCCUAACACAUGCAAGUCGAGCGAGAAAGUCUCUUCGGAGAUAAGUACAGCGGCGGACGGGUGAGUAACGCGUGAGAAUUUACCCUUUAGUGAAGAAUACCUCUGAGAAAUCAGGGUUAAUACUGCAUACGUCCCUACGGGGAGAAAGGUGGCCUCUUUGCUGCCGCUAAAGGAUAAGCUUGCGUACUAUUAGCUAGUUGGUGAGGUAAAGGCUCACCAAGGCGAUGAUGGUUAGCCGGGCCUGAGAGGGUGUACGGCCACACUGGAACUUAGACACGGUCCAGACUCCUACGGGAGGCAGCAGUGAGGAAUAUUGCGCAAUGGGCGAAAGCCUGACGCAGCGACGCCGCGUGGAGGAUGAAGGUCUUCGGAUUGUAAACUCCUGUUAAGUGGGAAGAAAGACCUAUUUCUAAUACAGAUAGGGGAUGACGGUACCAUUAGAGAAAGCACCGGCUAACUUCGUG
rnacentral:rRNA from 1 species